rnacentral:rRNA from 1 species
UACGUAGGGUGCGAGCGUUGUCCGGAAUUAUUGGGCGUAAAGGGCUCGUAGGCGGUCUGUCACGUCGGGAGUGAAAACACGGGGCUUAACCCCGUGCCUGCUUCCGAUACGGGCAGACUAGAGGUAUGCAGGGGAGAACGGAAUUCCUGGUGUAGCGGUGAAAUGCGCAGAUAUCAGGAGGAACACCGGUGGCGAAGGCGGGUCUCUGGGCAGUAACUGACGCUGAGGAGCGAAAGCGUGGGGAGCGAACAGG